rnacentral:tRNA from 1 species
GGCCUGGUGGUCUAGGGGAAUGAUACUCGAUGAGGGUGCGAUUGGUCCAGGGUUCAAAUCCCGGCCAGGCCC